AUUUAAUUCUAGUUAAAAUCCUAUUGAACUUCAUACAAACUUUAGGCCAAACCUAAUUAAAUCUUAAAUCCUAAUAAAAUCCUAAAUUUAAAUCAAAUCCUAAACAAACCUUAAACCAAACCCUAACCAAAUCCUAAACAAAUCCUAAACCAAAUCCUAAAUCAAACCCUAAAUCCUAAAUCAAAUCUUAAAUAAAUCCUAAUUUAAAUCCUAAACCCUAAAUCAAACCAUAAUGAAAUCCUAAUCCAAAUCCUAAAUCCUAAACCAAACCCUAAAUCAAAUCCUAAAUAAAAUCGUAAUCAAAUUCUAAACCAAAUCCUAAAUCAAACCCUAACCAAAUCUUAAACCAAACUCCAAUACAAAUCCUAAAUCCUAAAUCAAACCUUAAUCAAAUCUUAAAUCCUAAAUCAA
rnacentral:lncRNA from 1 species